UGAUUGAUCCUGUCAGCAGUAUUUGCUUGUUCAGAAGACUAAGCCAUGCAUGUAUAAGUUCACACCUUAAUACGGUGAAACCGCGAAUGGCUCAUUAAAUCAGCUAUUAUUUAUUAGAUCUUACAAGAUUACUUGGAUAACUGUAGUAAUUCUAGAGCUAAUACAUGAAUAUGUGCUUUGGUUCACGCCAAAUGCGAAUUUAUUAGAUCAAAACCAACCGGUUUCGGCCGUUAAAUUGGUGACUCUGGAUAACUAUUCUGAUCGCAUGACCUUGUGUCGGCGACGUAUCUUUCAAGUGUCUGCCCUAUCAACUUAAGUUGGUGAGUUAGUUGCUCACCAUGGUUAUAACGGGUAACGGAGAAUCAGUGUUCGAUACCGGAGAGGGAGCCUUAGAAACGGCUACCACAUCUAAGGAAGGCAGCAGGCGCGCAAAUUACCCACUCUCAGAACGAGGAGGUAGUGAAUUUAAAUAGCGAUGAUGAACUCUUAUGAGGCUCGUCAAUCGAAAUGAGUACAAUUUAAAUCCUUUAACGAGUACCAAUUGGAGGGCAAGUCUGGUGCCAGCAGCCGCGGUAAUUCCAGCUCCAAUAGCGAAUAUUAAAUUUGUUGCAGUUAAAAAGCUCGUAGUUUGAUCCAAGGUUAGGCAUGCCUGUCUGUUCUUAGUAGCAUGACUGUGUGUGUCUGCCUUUAUUAGUUGAAUGUUCAUUAUGGUGGUCUUCAUCGACUGCUAUGAUGUGCUCAACACGUUUACCUUGAAAAAAAUCAGAGCGAUCAAGGCAGGCCUUCGUGCUUGUAUGUUGUUGCAAGGAAUAAUAGAAUAGGACUUCGGUUCUAUUUUGUUGGUUUUGAGAAUUGAAGUAAUGAACAAUAGAGACAGUCGGGGGCAUUUGUAUGGUGGCGUUAGAGGUGAAAUUCUGAGAUCGUCGCCAGACAAACUACUGCGAAAGCAUUUGCCAAGGAUGUCUUCAUUAAUCAAGAACGAAAGUCAGAGGUUCGAAGACGAUCAGAUACCGUCCUAGUUCUGACCAUAAACGAUGCCGACCUACAAUCGGGGGUGGUUUAUUAUAUUGACCCUCCCGGCUGUCCUCAGGAAACUUUAAGUUGGUUCUGGGGGGAAUAUGGUCUCAAGACUGAAACUUAAAGGAAUUGACGGAAGGGCACCACCAGGAGUGGAGCCUGCGGCUUAAUUUGACCCAACACGGGGAAUCUCACCCGGUCCGGACACUGGUAGGAUGGACAGAUUGAUAGCUCUUUCUUGAUUCAGUGGGUGGUGGUGCAUGGCCGUUCUUAGUUGGUGGAGUGAUUUGUCUGGUUAAUUCCGAUAACGAACGAGACUCUGUCCUGCUAAAUAGUCCAGUGGCAUCAAUCACUAUGUGA
rnacentral:rRNA from 1 species